rnacentral:rRNA from 1 species
CCUACGGGUGGCAGCAGUGGGGAAUCUUGGGCAAUGCCCGUAAGUCUGACCCAGCGACGCCGCGUGAGUGACGAAGGCCUUCGGGUCGUAAAGCUCUUUUGACAGGGAAGAAAAUGCAUGUAAGUAACUGUGCAUGCACUGACGGUAUCUGUCUAAGCAGCCCCGGCUAACUCCGUGCCAGCAGCCGCGGUAAUACGUAGGGGGCGAGCGUUGUUCGGAUUGAUUGGGCGUAAAGAGAGCGCAGGCGGUUGUUGAAGUCUGAAGUGAAAGACUACGGCUCAACCGGUGAGGGGCAGGGGAAACUGGAAGACUUGAGUGUAGAAGAGGAGAGCGGAAUUCCUGGUGUAGCGGUGAAAUGCGUAGAUAUCAGGAGGAACACCAGUAGCGAAGGCGGCAAUCUGGCUGGUAACUGACGCUGAGGUUCGAAAGCGUGGGUAGCAAACAGGAUUAGAUACCCCAGUAGUC